rnacentral:tRNA from 1 species
GUAGCCAUAGUUCAAGGGUAGAACAUUCGCUUGUGGUGCGUUAUAUCUGAGUUCAAAUCUCAGUGGUUAUC